CCUGGCUCAGAUUGAACGCUGGCGGCAGGCUUAACACAUGCAAGUCGAGCGGGGGAAGGUAGCUUGCUACUGGACCUAGCGGCGGACGGGUGAGUAAUGCUUAGGAAUCUGCCUAUUAGUGGGGGACAACAUCUCGAAAGGGAUGCUAAUACCGCAUACGUCCUACGGGAGAAAGCAGGGGAUCUUCGGACCUUGCGCUAAUAGAUGAGCCUAAGUCGGAUUAGCUAGUUGGUGGGGUAAAGGCCUACCAAGGCGACGAUCUGUAGCGGGUCUGAGAGGAUGAUCCGCCACACUGGGACUGAGACACGGCCCAGACUCCUACGGGAGGCAGCAGUGGGGAAUAUUGGACAAUGGGGGGAACCCUGAUCCAGCCAUGCCGCGUGUGUGAAGAAGGCCUUAUGGUUGUAAAGCACUUUAAGCGAGGAGGAGGCUACUUUAGUUAAUACCUAGAGAUAGUGGACGUUACUCGCAGAAUAAGCACCGGCUAACUCUGUGCCAGCAGCCGCGGUAAUACAGAGGGUGCGAGCGUUAAUCGGAUUUACUGGGCGUAAAGCGUGCGUAGGCGGCUUAUUAAGUCGGAUGUGAAAUCCCCGAGCUUAACUUGGGAAUUGCAUUCGAUACUGGUGAGCUAGAGUAUGGGAGAGGAUGGUAGAAUUCCAGGUGUAGCGGUGAAAUGCGUAGAGAUCUGGAGGAAUACCGAUGGCGAAGGCAGCCAUCUGGCCUAAUACUGACGCUGAGGUACGAAAGCAUGGGGAGCAAACAGGAUUAGAUACCCUGGUAGUCCAUGCCGUAAACGAUGUCUACUAGCCGUUGGGGCCUUUGAGGCUUUAGUGGCGCAGCUAACGCGAUAAGUAGACCGCCUGGGGAGUACGGUCGCAAGACUAAAACUCAAAUGAAUUGACGGGGGCCCGCACAAGCGGUGGAGCAUGUGGUUUAAUUCGAUGCAACGCGAAGAACCUUACCUGGCCUUGACAUACUAGAAACUUUCCAGAGAUGGAUUGGUGCCUUCGGGAAUCUAGAUACAGGUGCUGCAUGGC
rnacentral:rRNA from 1 species